rnacentral:rRNA from 1 species
AACGAACGCUGGCGGCAGGCCUAACACAUGCAAGUCGAGCGAGACCUUCGGGUCUAGCGGCGGACGGGUGAGUAACGCGUGGGAACGUGCCCUUUGCUACGGAAUAGCCUCGGGAAACUGAGAGUAAUACCGUAUGUGCCCUUCGGGGGAAAGAUUUAUCGGCAAAGGAUCGGCCCGCGUUGGAUUAGGUAGUUGGUGGGGUAAUGGCCUACCAAGCCGACGAUCCAUAGCUGGUUUGAGAGGAUGAUCAGCCACACUGGGACUGAGACACGGCCCAGACUCCUACGGGAGGCAGCAGUGGGGAAUUUUGGACAAUGGGCGAAAGCCUGAUCCAGCCAUGCCGCGUGAGUGAAGAAGGCCUUCGGGUUGUAAAGCUCUUUCGGCUGGGAAGAAAUCGCACAGGCUAAUACUCUGUGUGGAUGACGGUACCAGCACAAGAAGCACCGGCUAACUACGUG